ACCACUAAUAUUUUCUUUUCCCUACCACUAACUUAUUUUUAUCUAAUAGACAUGAGUGGAAGUGUGAUGAGUGAAGAUAGGAUUAGUGUGCUAAGGUGGUAGGGAACCAAGCUUUAAUCAUGAAUAAUGCUUUGUCCUUAAUCAUUCUUCCAUUGCAAGACAAAGCUCAUCACUUCACUCCCUCACACUUCAACUCUCGGUCACCUCCAAAAAUCCCUCUCUUCCAAUUUUGCUCCAAAAGAUCGCCAUAGAUUAAUCACCAAAGCUUCCAAGUUCACUUCAAGAUCAAAUCCUCCACCAAAUCAACAUAAACACCUUUCAAUUCUUGAAGAUUUCAAGAGGACCGUGGGGUUUGGUUUGAAGAGUGAGAAAGGAAAACUUUGAUCUUUGUUUAAUCUUGGGUUGAGCAGCUGAUGGAAUGGAAUGGCGUUGAGCGGGUGUUCCUUUUACAUUUCAAGAAAUGUAACCUUGAGUAUACAUCUUCAUAUGUAUAUCUCACACGUUUUCCGCUGCAAAACACUUUGAUUAAGAUAGCUCUAUGUUAUGAAGUUGUGACACGUGUUAUUGGGUAACCCACCUUAAUCAGUUCUCCUUUAUGUGUAUGUUUUAUAAGUAUCCAAAUAAUCAUAUAUGAUCAUAGCAUUUUAUUUAUGAGUGACAUUUUCAUAUACUUUAAUGUUAAGUAAUUGUCCAUUUCCA